GCCGAUGUAGCUCACCAGGUAGAGCGCCGCUCUCGUAAAGCGGAGGCACCCGGUUCGAUCCCGGGCGUCGGCU
rnacentral:tRNA from 1 species